rnacentral:lncRNA from 1 species
CAAACUCAAACAAGACUCUCAAAAUAAUAUAAAAUACCAUUCCUUCACUAGAACUCUGCAAUUUGCUGAAAUUCAGUGCAUUGUACACACAACUCUAUUGCUACUAAUUUAUUUUUGAUGGUAGACCCUCCAAAUUGAUGAUCGGCACCGUUGGACAUGCUCUAGACUACUUGAAGUAUCUAGAAAUUAAAAUUUUAAAUCUUACAAUAUUAAAAUACGAAUGCGAUUCCACAAAAGGGUUUUAACAGGAUAAAUACAUAUUUAAGAUAUACUAUCAAGUAAUAAAUAAAAUAAAUUAAGUUUAUAUCAUCUGCUAAUAUAAUAUUUACACACACAUAACAAAAAUUAAUUUUACAUUAUUAUAUAUACAUAUAUAUAUAUAUAUAUGUAUAUAUAUAUAUAUAUAGAGCUAGGCUCCUAUGCUUUCGAAAGUACGGAGGCCUCCGUGCUUGUAAGUUAUUUUUGAUGAAGGGACAUCCGAUUCAGCAAUCGGUUUCGUUAGAUACGAUCUAUGCUAUUGGAACUAUCUAGAAACCAAUUUUUAUAAUUUUUUGACUUCGUUUGCCUAGUGAACGAGUGGUCUUAAAAUGAACGGCUGAAAAUAAAAAUCUCAUAAAAAAGGUGAUAAAGGGCUCAAAUUUCAAAUCGGAAGUAUUGUUCUUACUCUUGAUAUUAAGUAGAAUUUUUUAUUAAAUUUUCAUGUAAUCUGGAUACUUCUAUACUGUUGAACUUAAAAAAGUGCCACAUCGGCCGUUAAAAUAGUCAUUUUUGAGACUCUAUGAUCGCUUGGUUAAUGAUGUCAAAAAAUUAUGAAAUUUGGUUUCUAGAUAGUUCCAAUAACAUAGAUUAUGCCUAAUGGAGUUGAUCGUCAAAUUGGAUGUCCUAUCAUCGAAAACAACUUA